GCUAUGUCAUUCAGGCUGGCCUCCAACUCAGCAAUCCUUCGAUCACCCAAGCAAUGGCAUCACAAGAAUGAGCCACCACACCCAGCUGAAGAGUUCACUGACUAUAAGUUCUAUGUUUUGAAUGCUGCAGGGCAUGGUGCUGGCUUUGGUGAGGACUCCCUGGCCGACAGCCUUUCCAUAGUUCGUAAAUGAGCAGGAAGGAACCAACAGGGUGACUCAGGAUCACUCAUUACAACUCACUCUUCUCUCACUCCUCACAGGGGCAGCUCCCUAAUGAUCUAGGGACAAACCACCUGGUCUCACCUCUUAAGGGUCCCACCACCUCCCAAAGUCACCACACUGGGCACCAAGCCCAACACAUGAACCCAUAGCAGAGUUCUAUACACAGGAAUAUGUCUUUGCUGUGUUCACUUCAUAAGCAGUGGGAGACUUGUUACAGGUCAUAUAGAAACCUAGUGGCAGAGCCAGAAUAGGAACUCAUGGCUCCAACAUUACAUCAACUGGACCUCCAUUUGAGUCUCUACACACUGAGAAAUUCCAAAGCUGUCUGUUGCUGGGCUUUGCUUAUCUGACAACAAUGCUAAUGCGAGGCUCUUGGCUAGGUGCUAGGGACAUUAACAAUAAUUACUUAGGAUGGGAUGGUGGCACAGGCCUGUAAUUCCAGCACUCAGAAGGUAGGGGCAGGAGGACCAUGAGUUUGGGGCCAGCCUGGCCUACACAGCAAGACCCUGUGUCAGUAAUAAUAAUAACAGAGCUGAGCAACGGCUCAGUUGGUAAAGUGCUGGCCACCCAAGAGGACUUGCUCCCCAGCACCCAUAAAAGAUGGCCACAGUAGUGUGGUACUCUUCUGAAAUCCCACUGCCAAGGAGGUUGUGACAGCUGGACCUCUGGAGGUUGCCAUCAGUGAGUAGAUUUAACCCUUCUGUGACUUGUUUGCCUGAUGACACUUUGUGUUUUUGUAUUUUCACCAUCUUGGCUGAUGCUGGUUUCCCUGUGGCUGAAAGGCUGUCCCUUCUGGACCAGCCCCAACUCCCGAUGUAGUUUUGGAAGCCAUCCCUGGACCUCUCUGUCCAGCCAGGUUCGUAUCUAUACCAUAAAAAGAGCAUCUGUCUUGAUACUUCUCAGCUAGUACUAGAUCAUAGUAGUCAGUGAAGGUUAAAUAAGUAGUGAUGAAUGAAUCACCAAGAACUUUAAAACGCCCACACAGAAAUCCGGUCGGACUUUAAUCCCAGGGGCGAGGCCAGUGGGGACGCAGGGCCUCGAGCUACGACAGGGUCGCCGGCCUUGGCUUGUCCCCAUGAUGGGCCCCGUUCACUCCCCACCCCUGAACAAAGUUUGGUCCUGAUCUCUCCCGGUUGUUGAUGGUGGCUUUUAAAAUUUUUUCUGGAACUCUGGCUCUCGCCUCUUUGACCGCGUCCGGGCUGGAAGCAGGCGAGCUAGAAAUCUAGGUUCAGCACGCGCCAGCCCAACCCCCGCACUGGACACAAGUUUCCCCGGCGCCGGCCGCCGCCCCACCCACCGCGC